rnacentral:rRNA from 1 species
CCUACGGGUGGCAGCAGUGAGGAAUAUUGGUCAAUGGGCGAGAGCCUGAACCAGCCAAGUCGCGUGAGGGAGUACUGCCCUAUGGGUUGUAAACCUCUUUUGUCGGGGAGCAAAAGCCGGACGUGUCCGGCUGUGAGAGUACCCGAAGAAAAAGCAUCGGCUAACUCCGUGCCAGCAGCCGCGGUAAUACGGAGGAUGCGAGCGUUAUCCGGAUUUAUUGGGUUUUAAGGGGGCGCAGGCGGAUUUUUAAGUCAGCGGUAAAAUCGUGGGGCUCAACCCCAUCCCGCCGUUGAAACUGGGGAUCUAGAGUGUGCGAGAAGUAUGCGGAAUGCGUGGUGUAGCGGUGAAAUGCAUAGAUAUCACGCAGAACCCCGAUUGCGAAGGCAGCAUACCGGUGCACAACUGACGCUCAGGCACGAAAGCGUGGGUAUCGAACAGGAUUAGAUACCCCGGUAGUC